GAGAAACUUUAGAGCAUAUCCUAUAACUAACUGAUAAACAAAGGAGACGGGCCGCACUCGAAAUGCGGUGAACGGGUAACUGUUCCCAGGGUUCGAAUCCCUGUUUCUCCG
rnacentral:tRNA from 1 species